rnacentral:rRNA from 1 species
GACGAACGCUGGCGGCGUGCUUAACACAUGCAAGUCGAACGGAAAGGCCCUGCUUUUGUGGGGUGCUCGAGUGGCGAACGGGUGAGUAACACGUGAGUAACCUGCCCUUGACUUUGGGAUAACUUCAGGAAACUGGGGCUAAUACCGGAUAGGAGCUCCUGCUGCAUGGUGGGGGUUGGAAAGUUUCGGCGGUUGGGGAUGGACUCGCGGCUUAUCAGCUUGUUGGUGGGGUAGUGGCUUACCAAGGCUUUGACGGGUAGCCGGCCUGAGAGGGUGACCGGCCACAUUGGGACUGAGAUACGGCCCAGACUCCUACGGGAGGCAGAAGUGGGGAGUAUUGCACAAUGGGCGGAAGCCUGAUGCAGCAACGCCGCGUGCGGGAUGACGGCCUUCGGGUUGUAAACCGCUUUCGCCUGUGACGAAGCGUGAGUGACGGUAAUGGGUAAAGAAGCACCGGCUAACUACGUG